AGAGUUUGAUCAUGGCUCAGAACGAACGCUGGCGGCGUGGAUAAGACAUGCAAGUCGAACGAUCACUAUUGGGUAGCAAUAUUUGAUAGUGGUAGUGGCGCAAGGGUGCGUAACACGUGGGUAAUUUGCCGCGAAGUUGGGGAUAACUCGCUGAAAGGCGAGCUAAUACCGGAUGUGAUCAUUUGGUGGCAUCAUUGGAUGAUCAAAGUUGGGGACCGCAAGGCCUGACGCUUCGUGAUAAGCCCGCGGCCUAUCAGCUAGUUGGUGAGGUAACGGCUCACCAAGGCUAAGACGGGUAGCUGGUCUGAGAGGACGACCAGCCACACUGGAACUGAGAGACGGUCCAGACACCUACGGGUGGCAGCAGUCGAGAAUUUUUCUCAAUGGGGGAAACCCUGAAGGAGCGACGCCGCGUGGGGGAUGAAGGGCUUCGGCCUGUAAACCCCUGUCAUUUGCGAACAAACCUCAUUCAUGAACAAUGGGUGAGCUGAUUGUAGCGAAAGAGGAAGGGACGGCUAACUCUGUGCCAGCAGCCGCGGUAAUACAGAGGUCCCAAGCGUUGUUCGGAUUCACUGGGCGUAAAGGGUGCGUAGGCGGCCGGGUAAGUCUGGUGUGAAAGUUCGCAGCUCAACUGCGAAAAGUCAUUGGAUACUAUCCGGCUGGAGGAAUGGAGGGGGGACUGGAAUACUUGGUGUAGCAGUGAAAUGCGUAGAUAUCAAGUGGAACACCAGUGGCGANNNCGAGUCCCUGGACAUUUCCUGACGCUGAAGCACGAAAGCGUNNNGAGCAAACAGGANNAGNUACCCUGGUAGUCCACGCCCU
rnacentral:rRNA from 1 species